rnacentral:rRNA from 1 species
AUUGAACGCUGGCGGCAGGCUUAACACAUGCAAGUCGAACGAGCGGCGGACGGGUGAGUAAUGUAUGGGGAUCUGCCUGAUGGCGGGGGAUAACUACUGGAAACGGUAGCUAAUACCGCAUACCCUCAGAUGAACCCAUAUGGGAUUAGCUAGUAGGUGAGGUAACGGCUCACCUAGGCGACGAUCCCUAGCUGGUCUGAGAGGAUGACAAGCCACACGGGGACGUAGACACGGCCCAGACUCCUACGGGAGGCAGCAGUGGGGAAUAUUGCACAAUGGGCGCAAGCCUGAUGCAGCCAUGCCGCGUGUAUGAAGAAGGCCUUCGGGUUGUAAAGUACUUUCAGUCGGGAGGCGUUACCGACAGAAGAAGCACCGGCUAACUCCGUGCCAGCAGCCGCGGUAAUAC